rnacentral:rRNA from 1 species
UACGUAGGGGGCAAGCGUUGUCCGGAAUUAUUGGGCGUAAAGAGCGCGUAGGCGGUCCAGUAAGUCGGUUGUGAAAGUCGGGGGCUCAACCCUCGGAUGCCGAUCGAUACUGCUGGGCUAGAGUCCGGAAGAGGCGAGUGGAAUUCCUGGUGUAGCGGUGAAAUGCGCAGAUAUCAGGAGGAACACCGAUUGCGAAGGCAGCUCGCUGGGACGUCACUGACGCUGAGACGCGAAAGCGUGGGGAGCAAACAGG